GUUCUACAGGGCAUGUAGUAUCAUGGCCACGCAUGUACUGCCUCACGUGUCGUGCCAAGUAAAACUCGUAGAAAGCUUAUCUCUGAUUUUGUGUCGACAUCUGUUGAAGCAAGCUUCUUCGUAAAAAGACACUGAUGAGUUUCGAGCCCUGUGAUUGGCUUAUCAACAGCCAAUCAGGAGCGUCUUAAGGGACAGACUGGACACCAGAUGCAUGGGUGCUGUGGAUCUAUCAUUGAGCAAUGCAGUUCUCAUUGUGAGCAUCAGUUUGGAGAGCUGCAGAUAUUGAUACUCAAAAGGCAUAACCACUCAUGUAACCAUGUGUUUGAUGGCGUUUAUUUCCUUGAAAUCUGGGCUAAUAAUGUUCUGUUAUAAUAAAACUAUUCUUUGAUGGUUCAUAUAAUUUUCGGUAGUUUAAGUGAGUAAUGAACUGGCAAAUAACCACACAUUAACCAAUAAUGAAAACAAUAACAGAUACAGGAUAUGAAAUCCUUUUUUCGGUGAAAACACUGGGCAAGAGUGAAUUAAUGUUUACAGCAAUGGAGAAUGUUUCUUCACUAAUACUGAAUAGCUUACUUAAUACUCUUUUUCCGGGCCUCUUUUUCAAUGGAAUGUGAGAGAGAGAGAGAGAGAGAGAGAGAGAGAGAGAGAGAGAGAGAGAGAGAGAGAGAGAGAGAGAGAG